CUGCUGCAGAUAGUUAUAUUUACUCUUCUCCUCCACCACCUUACGAGUAUAAGUCGCCACCGCCACCAUCACCUUCACCACCACCUCCUUAUGUUUACAAAUCGCCACCUCCUCCAUCCCCAUCACCUCCACCACCUUAUGAGCACAAGGCUCCUGCUUAUGAGUACAAGUCACCACCACCACCAACUCCUUCACCACCACCUCCUUAUGUGUACAAGUCACCACCACCGCCAUCUCCUUCACCACCACCUCCUUAUGUGUACAAGUCACCACCACCACCCUCACCUUCCCCACCACCACCAUACUACUACAAGAGUCCUCCACCACCUUCUCCUUCACCUCCACCUCCUUACUACUACAAAUCUCCUCCACCACCCUCACCUUCCCCACCACCACCAUACUAUUACAAGUCUCCUCCACCACCAUCUCCCUCACCUCCACCACCAUAUUACUACAAGUCUCCCCCACCACCCUCACCCUCCCCUCCACCCCCAUAUAUACACAAGGAUCCACCAUACUAUUACAAGUCCCCACCACCACCUUCACCAUCUCCUCCACCACCAUACUACUACAAAUCUCCCCCACCCCCUUCACCGUCUCCUCCACCACCAUACUACUACAAAUCUCCUCCUCCUCCAUCUCCUAUUCCCAAAACACCUUACUACUACAAAUCUCCCCCACCCCCUUCACCAUCUCCUCCACCACCAUACUACUACAAAUCUCCCCCACCCCCUUCACCGUCUCCUCCACCACCAUACUACUAUAAAUCUCCCCCACCACCGUCACCCUCUCCACCACCACCUUACUAUUACAAGUCUCCUCCCCCACCUUCACCAUCUCCUCCACCACCAUACUACUACAAAUCUCCUCCUCCUCCAUCUCCUAUUCCCCAUACACCUUACUAUUACAAAUCUCCCCCACCACCUUCACCAUCUCCUCCACCACCAUACUACUACAAAUCUCCUCCUCCUCCAUCUCCUAUUCCCCGUACACCUUACUAUUACAAAUCUCCCCCACCACCUUCACCAUCUCCUCCACCACCAUACUACUACAAAUCCCCUCCUCAUCCAUCUCCCAUUCCCCAUACACCUUACUAUUACACAUCUCCCCCACCACCUUCACCGUCUCCUCCACCACCAUAUUACUACAAAUCUCCUCCCCCUCCGUCUCCUAUUCCCCACACACCUUACUACUACAAGUCCCCACCACCACCAAAGGUCCUUCCACCACCAUACUAUUACAAUUCUCCUCCUCCACCUGUUGUGUAUCCUCACCCAUAUCCCUACCACCACUCACUUAUUGUGAGGGUAGUCGGUAAAGUCUACAGCUUCAGAUGUUAUGAUUGGAAUUAUCCUGCAAAGUCUCAUAACAAGAAACAUCUCAAAGGUACAUUACAUUUCUUAGGACCGGACCUCUUUAGAGUAAUGUGUUUAGAGAUAAUGCACAAUUUUUUAUUUUUUUAUCUCGUAAAGGUUUAUUUAUUAUAAUCACAAUUUCACUUUUGUCAAAAAGAAAAACAAUUUUACUAUAUAUAGUUUUAAUCAUUAACAUUUUGAUGUAAAAAGAAUACAAUUCUCUAUUACCUUUUUACUAUGAUAUAUAUACAAAGAUUAUUCAAAUCUAUAUAUCCAACCUAAUUUCCAUCCAAAAAAAUAGAAAACAUAGGGUGCUUUGAACGCCUGCAGCAUCACAUGAAUAAAUAAAAACAAUCAAUAAUCAACCUUGUUCUAAUUUAUUUUAGACAGCGAUUGUUAAGCAUACUGCUCUUUUAAUUACAUUUUUUUUAAAGAUGCUCUUUUAAUUAUAUUGUCCUAAUAUAAUAUGUGUCUUUAUAUAUUACUUGUCGUAAACUAAUUUUAUUAUGGGUGCAGGAGCUGUUGUUGAGGUGACAUGCAAAGCCGGGAGCAAAAUUGUCAAGGCUUAUGGAAAAACUAAGAACAAUGGAAAGUAUGCCAUCACAGUUAAGGACUUUGACUAUGUCAAAUAUGGUUCGACAGUGUGCAAGGCUGCCCUAUAUGCUCCACCUAAGGGUUCACCCUUCAACAUACCUACAAAGCUAAAUCAAGGAACAAAGUUGUACUUGAAAUCCAAAGACAAGUACGAGGUUGUGCUCAAGGCUAAGCCAUUUGCUUAUGCUUCAAAGAAACAUUUCAAAGAAUGUGAGAAGCCUAAGCCUUCACCAACUCCUUACUACUACAAAUCACCUCCACCUCCCUCACCAGUUUACAAAUACAACUCACCACCUCCACCGGUCCAUUAUUAUUCACCUCCAUACACCUACAAGUCACCUCCUCCCCCUGUGAAAGCGGCACCAACUCCUUACUACUACAAAUCACCUCCACCACCCGCACCGGUUUACAAGUACAACUCACCCCCUCCACCGGUCCAUUAUUAUUCACCACCAUAUACCUAUAAGUCACCUCCUCCCCCUGUGAAAGCGGCACCAACUCCUUACUACUACAAAUCACCUCCACCUCCCGCACCGGUUUACAAGUACAACUCCCCACCUCCACCGGUCCAUUAUUAUUCACCUCCAUAUACCUACAAGUCACCUCCUCCCCCUGUGAAAGUGGCACCAACUCCUUACUACUACAAAUCACCUCCACCACCCGCACCGGUUUACAAGUACAACUCACCACCUCCACCGGUCCAUUAUUAUUCUCCACCAUACUACUACAAGUCACCACCCCCACCAUCUCCAUCACCUCCUCCACCAUACUAUUUCAAAUACUAUUACAAGUCCCCACCUCCACCAUCACCAUCCCCUCCUCCACCUUAUUAUUACAAAUCUCCUCCUCCACCAAAACAAAUUUCACACCCUCCAUACUACUAUAAGUCACCACCCCCACCAUCACCAUCACCUCCUCCACCAUACUAUUAUAAGUCUCCACCUCCACCAUCACCAUCUCCCCCACCACCUUAUUAUUAUAAGUCACCACCCCCACCAUCCCCGUCCCCUCCUCCACCAUACUACUACAAGUCUCCACCUCCACCUAAAGAAAUAUCACAUCCUCCAUAUAACUAUAAGUCACCACCCCCACCAUCACCAUCCCCUCCCCCUCCAUACUAUUACAAAUCUCCUCCACCACCAUCACCAUCACCACCACCUCCCUACUAUUACAAAUCACCUCCACCACCAUCACCAUCACCUCCCCCUCCAUACUAUUACAAAUCUCCUCCACCACCAUCACCAUCACCACCACCUCCUUACUAUUACAAAUCACCUCCACCACCAUCCCCAUCACCACCACCUCCAUACUACUACAAAAGUCCCCCUCCACCAUCUCCAUCUCCUCCAUCCCCAUAUUACUACAAAUCUCCACCACCACCAUCACCAUCCCCACCCCCUCCCUACUAUUACAAAUCACCUCCACCUCCCUCACCAUCACCGCCACCUCCUUACUAUUACAAAUCACCUCCACCUCCCUCACCAUCACCGCCACCUCCUUACUAUUACAAAUCUCCCCCACCUCCAUCUCCAUCUCCACCACCUCCUUACCACUAUCAAAGUCCUCCUCCACCAUCUCCCAUUUCUCAUCCUCCCUACUACUACAAAUCCCCUCCACCACCAUCGCCGUCUCCUCCACCUCCUUACCACUAUGUGAGUCCUCCCCCACCAGUAAAGUCACCUCCACCACCAACUUAUAUCUAUGCUUCACCACCACCACCUCACUACAACUAAGCUCAAAGAGCAGAAGCUCCGUUCAUUAUAAAUCAUGUAAGUUUAUCAUCUUCAAUUUUCUGAAUGUGUGCGUGUGUAUUUGUUUUUUUGUUACAAGAUACUAACAAAAUUCUUUUCUUAUUUAUGUUCAGGUUUUAGUUUUCAUCUAGGAAUAAAGGCAAGCUCCAUUUGGAGUAAAGUGAAACUUCUAGCUUCGUGUCCGAAUUCGUUAAAUAAAUGUCGGGAUGUAUCGUCUUUGAGCUAUAAUAUUUCUGAUCCAGACAAUAUCUAUUUUGUUUCUUUGGUGGCAAUCUUGCACUUCCUGGUCUUAGUCUAUUCAAGUGACAGACAAAUCAAAAGGGAGAAGCGAGAUUAAUUUAUUUGUGAUCUCUUUGAUUUAUUUGUGCAUAUAUCAAUAUGAACGUGUAUGAUAUUUUUCUAUUUAUUGAAGAUUUUUUUACUGUAACCUGUUAUUGUGUUUGUCAAAAGGUGUUAAUAAAGAAUCACAUUCAAUUUCUGUUAAAUUAUCAGUAUUUGUUUCUUUCUAACAACUACCAUUCAUGCAAAUGUGGCUAUUAAAAAAAGCUCCAAUGACACAUAAAAAGCUUCCAAACAAUAUAUAAACAAAGAUGCAUUGUUUUCUGUUAAGAAGGGGACAGGGUUACGGUUACUUGUGUACCAAGUUAGUUAUCCAUGCUUUCUUGUUCAUAGGAUUUAUAUGGUGUAGUUGCACUUAGUUGCUAAAUGUAUGCAAGCUUUUCCUUUCUAUAAAUAAGCACACCUACUAUCAUUCUUCUCCACAUUCCUUUCUACUCUUCUAUCAUGAAUUGUUCAUCCACAUAAGAUGGUCACAGAGCACACCUAAUACUCUGCUACUGGUGUAUCAGUUCCUUUCCACCAGAAACUUAUGAUCUCUAAUUGAAAGAGAUCCUAAAGUUUUAAGAUUUCUACAAAAUACAUUAUUCUCAUUUUUGUACAAGUAUGAUACAAUUAUUCCCAAGUAUUAUUUAUUCUAAGGAAUAGAAUUUAGUUGUGGUUUCUCUAUUUAACCAACAUUUAUUUUUAAAUAACUAAAUUUAAAAAAAAAAUCCUGAAAUUAUUAAGUACAUACCUAACACAUUGUAAAAUUUUGUUCCCAAAGAAAAUAUUUUUGGCAAUAGAAUUUUCAGGAACUUCAUUCCUAGGAAUAUAAUUCUAUACUAAGAGAAGAGCUUAAGCAUUGAUACAUAACAAGACCAAUCCAUAUCCUAAUCACAAUCCUACUUUCACUAAAUACUUUCACUUAAGUGUGGUCUUGGAAAGGACAAAUGAAGAAAGACAUUCCAGAGGUAUGGUAAGGGACAAUAUCUGCAGUUAUGCACAUAUUGCAAGAUUGUGAGGAACUACCGGACUGAUUUGAUUCACCAAAAAAUUUGGAAUAAAUAUUUCAGCCCAGAACUCAGACAAUGACUGGAUUGGAACCUUUCAGCUUCUAAUAUCGGUACUGUCCAAGGAAAUAGUCAUUCUCUUUUUGGAGUAGCUGUGAAGGAUUUAUGGAAAGAUAGAACUAAGCUGGUCUUUUCUAGAAACACCGCGAUUGGAACUACUCUAUUUUGGCUUGUAGCCAAUCCGGCUAAGUUUAUUAACAAUGUAGUUUGUACUCAAGCUCACAGUCACGAUGUUGUCAGCAACAGUGGGCAUAUUGUUUAGGUAGCCUGGAAUUUUCCUCCCCAACACUUCUUCAAAGUGAAUAUGAUGGAUCUCUACGGGAUUAUGUUAGUUUCCAGGAUCGAACUCAGAACCUCCUGAUUAUAACUCCUUCAAUGUAUGUCCCUUACCCACGUGGGGCCUCGGCUGUAAUUGUUAACAUGGUAAAAUUUGGCUCUUCCAAUAAUGGUUUUAUCCAAACUCGAGGUUGUUUAUCGUCUCCAACAAUCAGAUUGGAGAAUACUAGUGGUUCAUGCAUUUGAACAAACCAACUGUUGUGCAGAUUUUCUAGUUGAUUUUGUUUUUCCUUUUUUGAGUAUUUUAUUAGCCAAUGAUAUAAGAGGUUGUAGCCUACCUCUUUUGAUUUCUUAAGACAAUCACUUUUGCAUUAGAAAAAAACGACCCUACAUAAAAUUAAUGAUUGAAUUAAGAUAUAACUUCAGUUUGAAAUAUUGUAAAAUUCUAUACCACCAAAAACUGAGAAUUUUAGAACCAUACAGGUUGGUGGAGUGGUCAUCCAGAUAACUUUAACAUAAUUAACAGUCCAAAAAGUAAAUAGCUUUAUCCUUUAUUUUCAAUCUGAUGUGAUUUACUCUUAUCUGUUAAACAUUAUAAUUAAGAAUCCAAAGGGAACACUCACCUAAUCUCUCUCUUUUUUCUAGCUUUUUCACUAAACCACUGUGUCUGUGGUUACCACAUUUCCUUAUGGAAUCAAUAUCCAAUUUAUGUUAAAAACCAUUUCUACAUUUUGUGUUAAAAAUGAUCUAAACAAAGAUGAUUUAUUUCUCUUAAAUUCAACAUAGAUCAUAUUUACAUGGUUCAAACUUUCUAUUACACGGCAUUGACUUAGUUGCUUCACAUGGGGACACAACUAAUGCAUAUAUUAUUUUAUAUGCUUAUAGUAAUUUUAACAAGUGGCAAUGGGGCAUAUGUUUUGUCAAAAAAACACAAAAAACAGGAGGCAUGUGCAACUGAAGUCACUGCCAGCUUGGCACUAAGAUAUAGUAAAAUAAUUGACAUUUGAAGAAAACAAAGACGUUGCUACAUUUCUAUUCAAACAAGCGACAUCAAUAUCAGACAAUGGUGCUACAUUUAAUAAUACUACAGCUAUCCCCAUAAGCACCUCUUAGAAAGAAAAAAAAAUAUCCAUUAAAUUAAUGUUGGAAGAGUUAGCAACAUGUCCUCUCCCAAAAAAACUCAUGUUUGAUUCCUAGAGUCGUCCAUUUCGAAAGAAGCUCAACCCUGAUAAUAAAAACCUAGAUGUUAUGCUGCAGACUUAAAGAUCAAUUUCAUAAUGGAUCCAAAGGGCCUAAGCUGUGUGGGAUACUUAAGGGGGUAUAUUGAGGCUAAGGGUCAAAGAUCUUAAUUAUGGUCGGUUAAAAAAAGAAGAAAAAAAAAUUAUCUCUAAAUAUAAAGUCAACAAUAUUUCAAAUUGCAAGAUACAUUUAUUUAUUUUUUAAAUAUGUAUAUACCUCUUAUUAAUACUUACUAAUUUGUUUUGAGUGAUAAAAAGUUACGAGUUAGACAGAUCAGCACAUAAAAAAAGUAUUUGAAAAACAUCUACCAACAAAAUAAACACAUUAAAAACAAUACUACUUUUUUACAAUACUGUAUGUGAAAAUGACAAAAUCUUGAAAAAGAUGGAGGUAACAUGUACUCUUUUUUUUUUAGAGGGGAGCAUGUACUUUUCCACUAACAAUGUUGAUAAGAAACAUAUAAAAUACUAUUAGAGAAAGAAAAAAAAUAAUAAAUAAAGAAAUAUAUAAAAUACUGAGGAAUGACUCACUCAUGUCAAAUUUUAGCAAGGGAGAAGUGAUAUCACAUCAUUUUAGAAGAGGAAUGAGAAUAGAUAGAUCUAAUUUUUCUAGUAAGUUUGAAUAGUAGAAUCAUACUUCUUUGUCUUUUGUGAAAAUUUCAUAUUAUGGGAUCUAUUACUAGAAUACAGGUGAUUUUAUUCUGGAAGAUUGACUUUUUAUUAAAAUAAAAUAAAAGUACAUUUUUUAUUUCCAAAUGCUUAGUUGUUCAUUUAUAAAUAUUACAUUAUCCAACAGCACCAAACCCUAUUUCAUAACGGUACUCUGCACGUUUCAUUCAUUUACUGGUGCCUUAGUUUUUUGUUACAAACAGACAUUGAUCAGAGGAACAAAUGUAGAGACAAAUUGAAGAUAAUAUAUCACAUAAUAUUGUAGACACACCUUCACAUACAAAUGGGGUAAAGUCCCUCAUAGUAGUAUUAGAAAUAACACUUAGAGUAAAAUUUUGCUAAAUUUAACAUGAAAAUAAGUGUAAUGUAUUUUAUAGGCAGCUAUACAUAAUUAUUAAUUAGAACAAUUUUUUACACUGUCAAACAAAAAUUGAACAAUUUUUUACUAGCUUUAUGCUUUAUGAUGUUUUGAUUCCAUGUGCACAUUUCAAUUUUAGAACUAUUCCUUUCUAUGUUACUGAAAUAAUUCUAUCAUUAGGCAUUGACAUUUCCAUUAUGCGUGCACGUUAAAGUGUUUUCCCAAACAGAGAAAUAUUAAGAAAGGUUAAACUUUUGACUUAAAGACACAACUAAAAUAAGAUCCAAGGAAAACCCCAUUGAUUAUUUCUUGCACAAAAUUAAAAACCCCAUUGAUUAUUUCUUGCACAAAAUUAAAAUGCUAAUAAUUUUUCCUGGUCUAUAUUUUUCUCCUUCCGGGAAAUGGCAACAUCACAUGUUCAUCUCAUAAUUGAGAAAACACAUGUCUGGGAAAAUAUCUUAAAGAAAAGGCAGUAAAGUAAUAAAAAGUGCACCAAAUAGAGAUUAACUAGUACUCUUUGCAUGUCAACUAAGUGGUAUAAUUAUGUAUAUCACAUUCUUAAUAUUGAUUAUCUUGAUUGCACGAUAAGCCCCUCAAAUUGCUCAAUCGAUGAUUGCUUGAUAAGCCCAUCAAAUUGCCCAAUCGAUCGAAUCGUAACUUUCGAUAGACAUUUUUUUUAAGAAAACCCAAUUGGAUCAUAACUCCCCAUAGUCAUUUAUUUGAAAUUGUGAGCAAUUUGAUAACUUAUUGAGCAAUCACCAUUGAUUUUAGUCUCAAUUUAUCCUAAUGUUGUAACCCUGGAAUAAUGGAACAGUGAGUAAAUUUGGUUUCUCCGUCUCAAAAUAAGUGUCACAAUUUAACCAUGUGCACUACUCAUCAAAUCUACUUUGACAACAUUUUUUUUACUAAUAUAUAAAGACAAUGUUAGUACAUUACAUGUUCGAUUUGUCUUAGUUAAUGUUUUUAAAAUAUCGACUUUAUUAUAAUUUUUCUUAAUAGACAAUCAAAAAUAUCAAUUGUCAAAAUUGUGUAUUGAUAUGUAUGAAAAUCAAACUAUAACACUUACUUUGAGACGAAGAGAAUAACUAUUAAAAACUAAUGUUCAAAUAGAAAGAAAAGAAAACAAAGAUUCCAUACAAAGCUUGCAAAAUAGCUACAAUCAUAACCUAGAACAAAAAUCAUGACCACACACUAUAUCCAUUUUCCUUUUCCUAAAAAGCAAUUGAAGAUAAAAAAAAAAAAAAUAAUAAAUAAAAAAAAAAAAAAAAAAAAAAAAAANACCACCAUACUACUACAAAUCCCCACCUCCACCAUCGCCUUCUCCUCCACCACCAUACUACUACAAAUCCCCACCUCCACCAUCGCCUUCUCCUCCACCACCAUACUACUACAAAUCCCCACCUCCACCAUCGCCUUCUCCUCCACCACCAUACUACUACAAAUCCCCACCUCCACCAUCGCCUUCUCCUCCACCACCAUACUACUACAAAUCCCCACCUCCACCAUCGCCUUCUCCUCCACCACCAUACUACUACAAAUCCCCACCUCCACCAUCGCCUUCUCCUCCACCACCAUACUACUACAAAUCCCCACCUCCACCAUCGCCUUCUCCUCCACCACCAUACUACUACAAAUCCCCACCUCCACCAUCGCCUUCUCCUCCACCACCAUACUACUACAAAUCCCCACCUCCACCAUCGCCUUCUCCUCCACCACCAUACUACUACAAAUCCCCACCUCCACCAUCGCCUUCUCCUCCACCACCAUACUACUACAAAUCCCCACCUCCACCAUCGCCUUCUCCUCCACCACCAUACUACUACAAAUCCCCACCUCCACCAUCGCCUUCUCCUCCACCACCAUACUACUACAAAUCCCCACCUCCACCAUCGCCUUCUCCUCCACCACCAUACUACUACAAAUCCCCACCUCCACCAUCGCCUUCUCCUCCACCACCAUACUACUACAAAUCCCCACCUCCACCAUCGCCUUCUCCUCCACCACCAUACUACUACAAAUCCCCACCUCCACCAUCGCCUUCUCCUCCACCACCAUACUACUACAAAUCCCCACCUCCACCAUCGCCUUCUCCUCCACCACCAUACUACUACAAAUCCCCACCUCCACCAUCGCCUUCUCCUCCACCACCAUACUACUACAAAUCCCCACCUCCACCAUCGCCUUCUCCUCCACCACCAUACUACUACAAAUCCCCACCUCCACCAUCGCCUUCUCCUCCACCACCAUACUACUACAAAUCCCCACCUCCACCAUCGCCUUCUCCUCCACCACCAUACUACUACAAAUCCCCACCUCCACCAUCGCCUUCUCCUCCACCACCAUACUACUACAAAUCCCCACCUCCACCAUCGCCUUCUCCUCCACCACCAUACUACUACAAAUCCCCACCUCCACCAUCGCCUUCUCCUCCACCACCAUACUACUACAAAUCCCCACCUCCACCAUCGCCUUCUCCUCCACCACCAUACUACUACAAAUCCCCACCUCCACCAUCGCCUUCUCCUCCACCACCAUACUACUACAAAUCCCCACCUCCACCAUCGCCUUCUCCUCCACCACCAUACUACUACAAAUCCCCACCUCCACCAUCGCCUUCUCCUCCACCACCAUACUACUACAAAUCCCCACCUCCACCAUCGCCUUCUCCUCCCCCACCUUACUAUUACAAAUCCCCACCGCCACCUUCACCAUCUCCCCCACCACCCUACUACUAUAAAUCACCCCCACCACCUUCACCAUCUCCUCCACCACCAUACUACUACAAAUCACCCCCACCGCCAUAUGAACACAAGACUAAACCAUACUAUUACAAGUCUCCUCCACCAC
rnacentral:lncRNA from 1 species